AGAUCAGCCCCCUUUUCAAGACUGUUCUUUCUUCCUCUUUGCUCAUGACUACGUCUGGCCGAUACAUGCGCUUUCAAGGUUCUGGUCCUGAGGCUGUUCUAGGAGUUCAAGAUGAUUAUGUUCUGUGGACAAAAUACAUAACAACAGUCUGGACUAUACCAUGGCGGAAUGAGGCCAAUCCUGUUCUAAAUCAAUGUCUGGCAAGAUGAAUGCAAGCAGACUGAAACUUAAUCAAGACAAGACAGAGGUGCUCCUGGGCAACUGAA